AUGGACACGCCGACGUCGUCGACGUGGGAGGAGGGCUCGCAGUCCGACUUCGACGACGAUGACAUGCCGCAGCGGGGCAGCGUGCUGCGUGCGCUGAACCUCCGCCGCGACGACGACGUGGACGACGGCGCCGCCUCCGACGUGUCAUCCGAGUGCAGCGGGGAGCCCGGGAGCCCGUACGGGUCGCCGUACCCGCGCUGGCCGGUCUGCAAGCUGGCGGCGCGGAUGCCGCCGCCGGCGCCGCUGCUGCAGAGGCUCGGCACGGAGCCGCGCCGCGGCGGCGCGCAUGACCGCAAGGCCGGUUGCACCGAGUUGCAGCUGAUGAAGGAGAGGUUCUCCAAGCUCCUUCUCGGGGAGGACAUGUCCGGCGGCGGCAAGGGCGUCUCCACCGCCGCGGCCAUCUCCAAUGCCAUCACCAACCUCUACGCCACCGUUUUCGGGAGCUGCCACCGGCUGGAGCCACUGCCGGUGGAGAAGAAGUCGAUGUGGCGGCGGGAGAUGGACUGCCUGCUCUCCGUCUGCGACUACAUCGUCGAGUUCUUCCCGUCCAAGGACAUCCUUCCCGACGGCACGACCCGAGAGGUGAUGGCGACGAGGCCGAGAUCCGACAUCUACGUCAACCUCCCGGCCCUCGAGAAGCUCGACGACAUGCUGCUCGAGAUCCUGGACGGCUUCCAGAAGACGGAAUUCUGGUACCUCAACGACAAGGCGCACAAGGACAGCUGCGACGACUCGGCGCCGUGCCGUCCGGCGAGCCACCGCGGCGAGGAGCGGUGGUGGCUGCCGGUGCCGUGCGUCACCAAGUCCGGGCUGACGGAGUCCGCCCGGCGGGACCUGCGGCAGAAGCACGACUGCGCGAGCCAGAUCCACAAGGCGGCAAUGGCCAUCAACAACGGCAUCCUCGCCGAGAUCAAGAUCCCAGAAUCGUACACGCAGACGCUUCCCAAGUGCGGGCGGGCGAGCGUGGGCGACGCCAUCUACCGGGGCAUGUCGUUCCCGGGCAAGUUCUCGCCGGAGUACCUGCUGGACUGCCUGGAGAUAUCGUCGGAGCACGAGGCGCUGGAGGCGGCGGACCGCGUGGAGGCGGCGAUGCACGUGUGGCGGCGCAAGGCGGGCCACGGUCACGCGAGGUCGCCGUGGGGCGCCGUCAAGGACCUCAUGGAGUCGGACAAGAACGUGAUGCUGGCGAGCCGGGCCGAGGACGCCCUGCUCUGCCUCAAGCACCGCUUCCCCGGCCUCUCCCAGACCACGCUCGACGCCAGCAAGAUACAGCACAACAAGGACGUCGGGCAGGCCGUCCUGGAGAGCUACUCCAGGGUGCUGGAGAGCCUGGCGUACACCAUAGUGACAUGUAUAGACGACGUUCUUUUCGCCGACGAGUCGGCGAGGAAGAUCUGA
rnacentral:rRNA from 1 species